UGGUUGAGAUAUUUGUCCUUGGGGGUUGUUUUUUUAUUAUUAUUUAUUUCCUUUUAUUCCUUAAUCACCGCAGCUAACAAAAACAUGACUUGAGACUGCUCCUUUACCAUCAAAUCUGAGCAGGGGCGCCUCAGCGUCAGUACAACUAAGCACAACAAAUCGUGGCCAGCUGUAGCAACCGACAGCAAGAGGGAGGGGAGGCGGUGGGACACGUGCAGCGGUCCGCAAAGGCUCCCGGCUGUUGCCCGGGGCUCCGGGGCCGGGAGAAUGUACCAAAACUGGGAAGCAGCAGAUAGAGGAGGCGAAGGAGAGCUGGGGGCCAGCGACUGCCCCAGGACGGAAGAGGCACGGGAGCGUCCCGGGAGCCCCGAAGCUGCCCGCCCGCCUACUGCACCCCUCUCACGCCAUGCCGCCAUCCCCAGCGUUCCAGCCCCGGACCUCCCGGGACCGGUGAGGAACUGCCUAGGCAACAGGAGCUCCGCACCAGCUGCGGAGGGGAGCGCAGUGCUGACAUUUCGACCGCCACGCCCUGGGAGAGUCCAAUAUAACGCGUGCGUUGGACAGUGAGACGUGGCACUGCAGGGCUGCAGGUGGGGCGCGCAGACAUCUCCCCCAGCCUGAAACUGUUACUUUCAAAAUGAAGAGGAAGAUAGAAGUGGGAAUGAAGAAUGCUUUGGAGAAAUCUAGUCAUAAUGUUUGAGGAGUAGAAAUAAUAGAAAAUACUAAUAACUCUGGUCUCUUACAUAGGUCAGAACUUAGACUGAAAUGAUGUAAAGUUACAAACCUGAGACAUAAGGGCUAUUAAAUUUGAAUCAAGAUUCACGGAUUUUUGAACGAAUGCAUAAUAAAAAUGU